UACGUAGGGCGCAAGCGUUGUCCGGAUUUAUUGGGCGUAAAGAGCUCGUAGGCGGCUUGUCGCGUCGACUGUGAAAACCCGUGGCUCAACCAUGUGGUCUGCAGUCGAUACGGGCAGGCUAGAAUUCGGUAGGGGAGACUGGAAUUCCCAGUGUAGCGGUGAAAUGCGUAGAUAUUGGGAGGAACACCAGUGGCGAAGGCGGCUCACUGGACCGGUACUGACGCUGAGGCGCGAAAGCGUGGGGAGCAAACGGG
rnacentral:rRNA from 1 species